AUACGGAGGGUGCAAGCGUUAUCAGGAAUCAUUGGGUUUAAAGGGUCCGUAGGCGGGCUAUUAAGUCAGAGGAGAAAUCCCACAGCUUAACUGUGGAACUGCCUUUGAUACUGGUAGUCUUGAGUUAUAUGGAAGUAGAUAGAAUGUGUAGUGUAGCGGUGAAAUGCAUAGAUAUUACACAGAAUACCGAUUGCGAAGGCAGUCUACUACGUAUAUACUGACGCUAAGGGACGAAAGCGUGGGGAGCGAACAGGAUUAGAAACCCUAGUAGUCC
rnacentral:rRNA from 1 species